UGCAUCUUCUCAAUCCAUUGGCGCUGCAUAGGGUUGAGGGAGGACAGAUCAGCCAACAUAAUUUCUUUUUUCUCUUUGAGAAGCUUAGUUUCUGCAAUCUUUUCUUCAUUUGCCACCCUCUUCUUCUCUAGCUCUAGUGCAGCCAGGAACCUCUCCUCCUUGGACUUUUCCUUUUCCUUGUCUAACACCUCUUUCUUUGCCAUCAUCUUGUCCAAAGCUUCCAUGCAAGCCUCGCCACCACCACGUCUAAGGUUUUGUUUUGCCUUCUUUAUCCCUUCUGGCCUUUUCUUUGGUGCGGUUUCUUCAACACCAGCAUCUUCUAGUUCAUUAUUUUGAGUCUCUUCUUCCCCCCUCGGCCUCUUGUCCUUGGUGGAAGUCUUCUUUUUUUUUUCUUGGCAGAUUGUUUGUCUUUCUCAAGCUCAGCA
rnacentral:lncRNA from 1 species